rnacentral:rRNA from 1 species
AAUAGAUACCCGGGUAGUCCAUGCCGUAAACGUUGGGCACUAGGUGUGGGGCUCAUUCCACGAGUUCCGUGCCGCAGCAAACGCAUUAAGUGCCCCGCCUGGGGAGUACGGCCGCAAGGCUAAAACUCAAAGGAAUUGACGGGGGCCCGCACAAGCGGCGGAGCAUGCGGAUUAAUUCGAUGCAACGCGAAGAACCUUACCAAGGCUUGACAUGCACGAGAAGCCACCAGAGAUGGUGGUCUCUUUGGACACUCGUGCACAGGUGGUGCAUGGUUGUCGUCAGCUCGUGUCGUGAGAUGUUGGGUUAAGUCCCGCAACGAGCGCAACCCUCGUCCCAUGUUGCCAGCGGGUUAUGCCGGGGACUCAUGGGAGACUGCCGGGGUCAACUCGGAGGAAGGUGGGGAUGACGUCAAAUCAUCAUGCCCCUUAUGUCUUGGGCUUCACGCAUGCUACAAUGGCCGGUACAAAGGGCUGCGAUACCGUAAGGUGGAGCGAAUCCCAAAAAGCCGGUCUCAGUUCGGAUUGGGGU